rnacentral:rRNA from 1 species
UACGGAGGGUGCAAGCGUUAUCCGGAUUUACUGGGUUUAAAGGGUGCGUAGGUGGGUCUGUAAGUCAGUGGUGAAAUCUCCGGGCUUAACCCGGAAACUGCCAUUGAUACUAUAGGUCUUGAAUAUCCUGGAGGUGAGCGGAAUAUGUCAUGUAGCGGUGAAAUGCUUAGAUAUGACAUAGAACACCAAUUGCGAAGGCAGCUGGCUACACAAAUAUUGACACUGAGGCACGAAAGCGUGGGGAUCAAACAGG